UUCCCACUUCCUAUGAGUGCCAAGCAUAUUCACAACAUGCUUUUAACGUAGGCGCACUUCAAACGACGCCUACAGUACCCAACAAAGAAAAGAUGUGGGAGUAUGUUUUGAAGGAAAGGAGUGGGUGUUAAAAACCAUUGGUGCUGCAUGGAGGAUACAUAAAUGUCGAUUAAAAAAGAACAUUUCUAUAAGUACAAGGACAAUAAAACCAGAUGGAAGAAUUGACCUAAACGUAUUCCUGAUGAUGAUUUCAAACUAUUGUUAGCUUUAUGGAACAAGAGAAUAGAGCAGGAACGCUCUUCAGCAAAUCAAAUGCGUUGCAAGUCUCAGAAGAAUAUGCACAAUGCAGGGCCAAAAAGUUUUGCUAGGAUACGGGAAGAAAUGAAAAAUGAAGAUCCUAAUAAGGAGUAUCCUUCCUUAGCUCAACUAUUUGAGCGUACUCGUAAGAGAGAUGAAAACAAAACAUGUGCGGACACAUAUGAAGAUACAAAAAAAAAUUGAUGCAAUGAAGAAUUAUCGUCCCCCUGAAGAUGGAAGUGGCAUUAAGGAUGCUUAUUUAGCUGUUAUGGGUAACGAGUAUGCUGGGCGUCGACGACUUUAUGGUAAAGGUGUUACUAAUAAGAUUUUAAAGAGGACUUCAACUUCUGGGGUAUCCUAUGUAGUGCCAGGAGAGGUUAUAGAUUCAUUGAGAGCUGAAGUUACUGAAAUUGAAAAAUCACAAUUAAAUGAUAUGAGAAAGGAGCUUGAAGAAGAGUAUGAGAAACGAAAGACAGAGCUUGAAGCAGAGCAUGUGAGGAAAAUGGAAGAAUUUGGAAAACAAAAGGAGACAAUGGUUCAAGAAGUUCUAGAGAAGCUUAUUUCCAAAUUGCCACCAAGUGUUGUUAAAGAUUUUCUAACAUAAUGGUUUUGUACAAAAGGUGCCCUAUAUUAUUAUGGUGUCGCUAUUGGAUAAAAUGGAGUUGAUGGAAAUCACAUGAUUAUUAGAUAUCUUGUUGGCACUACUUUUGCUAAAAAUUACAAAGUACCAUUUUGAAUGAUGAUGUAAUGAAAAAAAUUAUUACACUAUUUAUGUUAAUGCAAAGUACUGUAAAUUGCCAUGUACAAUAUUUGACAAUUUGGGCUAAAUACAAUAUUUGUAUGAAUGUGUAAACAAAGAAAAUUAAACUUUAAUUAUAGUAUUAGAAUUAU